CAGUGACUACGGCGUGGAUGUGUAUGGCGCAUGUGCGCGGAUGCAUUGAACGUUUUAUGUUAUGGAAAAUGAUGAAUUAUGGGGCUACUGAAUACAGAUAUGUAACGUAGCUGACAGCAUAAUCACGCUGGGAUUUGCGUAAUUGAUGUGGGUUAUCUGUUGUUAACAGAAAAGUGCGCAACUGUGUAACAGGGUGGCUGAUCAUUCAAUUCAGCUUCGAUGAAGAUGUAACACCCAUCCACAUAAUUGUGUGGAUGGGUAUAAUUGAAGAAGAAGAAGAAGAAGCAAUAUCUACUGUGGAGUUCAUUGGAAGGGAGCUCUUCUAAUCAUCAGGGGCGGAAUAAGAACUGGAGGUGGAACUGGUUGAUGAAUCUAUACCAGAAAGCCCAGCGUCGCCAUCACCUCCGCCACCACCGCAGAACCCACUACCACCACCACCACCACCAAGGUGGCGCAUGCUCCCUGAGGAGUAUGUAGAUGAGGGCAAUGAUGAUGAUGUUAUAUUCUCAUACGAAAUAAUAAAUAUCGAUUAAAAGGA